UAUAUUUAUAUAGAUAUAUCUUUCUAUAUAUAUCUUUUUCAGAUGAUUUUCCAUUAUAGGUUAUUACAAGAUAUAAUGCCCUAUGCUAUAUUGUAAAUCUUUGUUGGUUAUCUAUUUUAUAUAUAGUGGUGUGUAUCUGUUAAUCCUAAACUCCUAAUGUAACCCUUCCCCCAUCCUUUCCCCUUUAGUAACUGUGAGAUUGUUUUCUAGAGGCAAUUAUUUUUAAUGCCAUCCUGUGCAAAGGGGGUACUAAACACAGGUGUCUUAACACGACAUUGCAUCUCACGUUGCUGUGAUGCAUGAUAAAUGCAUUUGCUGUUCUCAGAGUCACACAUAUUAGUCUGGGUCUUAUCCUUACCUCCUCUCUCAGUAACAAUAUGAGAGGCUUAACUAAAGCAAAAGGAGUUUAAAAAUGCUGUUUAGUAUUAAAUAGAACCUGCCCUCCCCCCCAAAAAAAAGGAAACUGAGGCAUUGGGUAAUCAAGGGAAUGGUUGAAAGAUCCAAGACUGAGUCAACGACUGAGUUAUGACCCAUUUUCCAGAAUUCAGACAUCUUCCAAAAGAAGAAAGCGCACAGAGGUAAGCUGGGUCUCAGGUGCGAAUACAGAUGGGUUCACUACUGGAAGCCACCAGCGCAGGGAGCCAGCCUGGAAGCGGACCUUGGUCUGCAUCCACGACUCGGCCACCGCCAGAGCUGGUUUUUCCAGCCCCUUUCCUGCUCCCAGGUGGCAGAGCUAAAAAUCAGGACACCAGCUCAUUCUUUCAGUCCCCAUUCCAAGCAAAUCUCAGGUGGACUCUAGCUAUGCUUUGUGAAUUGCACCUGCCAGAGCUGCACAGCCAAGCAAGAGGAGGGAAAUGCCUUAGUGGUUUCUGCACAUAGACCAGACCAAGGGAGAAAUUAACCUUAAGCUAGUGAACAACAAAAGUGUGCUUUGAGAAGUCAAAUGAAGGAGGUGAUGGUGGUUAGCGGACGGCCCUACACACCUUGUGUGUGUGUCUUGCUGAAUCACUCUGUCCAAAGCUGGCAGGUGACAGACACAGGGUUACCUCCUGGAUCGGUCUCUGGGGGUCCCUCCAGUUUCUGCGUCUCCAGACUGGGCAGUGCAUGCAAGGUCUCCCCUGCUCACACCUGUUACUCAUCCCAGCCACCUGAUCUGAAGCGUCCUUGGGGACAGUGUUUUCACUCUGCCUGCUCUCUUGUGCUGGUGGAUCGAUGACAGUCAGCAAAGAACAAGCUGUGCCAGAGAAGAACGUCCUCUUCCUCUGGGCUGACUCAGCUUGGGACAGGAAGACCGGGGCAUCUGGCAUUUGGUGAAGCCCUUGAUUGUCCCUUACGAAAUAUUAACCGAAAUGGAUUGGCGUUGGCCUCGUUCUGAGAAGGUCACCCAGGAUGCGUUUGAAAGGAAGAGGCCCUGUGUCAACAAAGAGGAGUGAUAAGCAGCCCGCCAUUUCUCUGAACUGAUGCGCCCGAUGAUCGUGUACCGCAGGCUCGGUUUUAUAUCUCUCCACAGAUCAGUGUGCUUUUAUGACAACCAUCUCCAUAGCAACCAGGUGUCCAGACACUAAAUGGAUCAUGGGGAUAUGAAAUCUCAGCCUGGGAAGGAAAGCCCACCCCGCCGCCCGACUGCCAUUUCCGAGGCGCUGUUUUAGGAUGAGGGCUGUUGGGUGGGUCCAGGGGACAUGGGUGGCCUUCCCUAGGGCCCUGCUUAGCACAGGGACAGCCGGAUGGCGGAGGAGCAUUUUUUUGAUUAUGUUUACUAAUGACCCAGAAGAAAGGGUAAAUAACAGGUCAUUGAGACACUGAUGAAACCAAAUGGGAAAGAGCUGCAAACACCAGAGAGACCAGAGAAAUUAUGUCAGUGGCAGUGGAGGAAAGAACCUGGGGAGGGUUAUCCUGGGAACCCCGGAGUUAGUACUUCUGGGGGCCCGAGAGUCCCAAAUGAGAAGGUGAACAAUGCAGGGAUUGUUUGGUGGGAUCUGGGAGAGAAAGAUGACAAGUAAGCUUAACACAGGGAAACAUACCAGAACGGAUAGUGAGGAGCUCAGGGAAGGGGCCGUCAGCCCAGGCUCCCCUGAGUGGUUGAGAUGAAUCCAGACAGCUGACCCUGGGAGGCUCAGAGGGAGGUGGUGGGGAUGCAGCCCAGGAUGCAGGGUGUCCACAGAGCAGCAUCCUCAGGGCUGGAGGCAGCUGUGCCAUGAGUCACACUGACUUCUCCCCAAAGGUGAGUCUCAACAGUCCUGCCAUACCUGGAGCUUCUUUUGUUCAGCAAUGAUGUCCACAUGCUGACAGUGCAUGGAGGGCAGAGCGGGAAGGAAGGCACGGACAGAUACAGUGGAACAAAAGGAGAUGUAGUUGGGACCUCCGGGAAGAAUUUUCCCGAGUGACAUCUAAAUAGGCUGCAAAUGGCCCUUUGGAGGGAACUCCCAUCCCUUGUCAUAAUCUAAACCAGGACCGGACUGGGAGGGGUGGCAACACAUGGGUGUCAGGGGGAGGGCGGGGCCACCCCGCUUCUUUGUCUCGUCAGCCCAUGACCCACGGGGUUGAGGCUUAAAUGUGCCAUUCGUCUACUGCACGAGGAUCCUUGAAUCCCCACACUAGGUGUGUCCAUUGAAGAGAGUUCUGCCCUCUCCCAGGGGAAAGCUGGGGGUUAAAUCUGUAACUGUCAGCCUGCCUGGCAACAAAAUAAAAGGAAACCACAUUCUUCAUGAAUGAAGGAAGGAGCAGGAGGAAGGUAGUCCCCCCCCACCUUCUCUUUUUUUUUUUAAACAUGAGUAAGAUCCUCAAUAUGUUUGAGAUUAUUUAGCAAAUUCUCUGCAAGGGACCACAGGUCACUAGCCAACAGAUCAUGGAUGUAGAGACCGCAGGCUUCUUCCGACCCUACCUCCCACCGUUGCCCCAGAGGUAGCAGGCUGGGCAUCAUGGGGGUCUCUGUUUAGUGAACUAUUAAUGAUUUAUCAAAGUCCAGACCCCUGCACCAUCCGUCCAGUGCUCAGAAUGUUAUUAGAAAAUCCUAUUUCUGGUCUGUUAUGAAACAGAGGUUUUGAUGUGCUGCCAGGUUUAUGGGGAAUUCUGGAAACAGAACACUUGCUGCUCUGAGGAGCCGAGGCCAGUGGGUGUUACAUAAAGCUUUCCUAGCAACUCAAGUUUAUCAGAGAAUGUGAGGCUGCAGUGGAAAAAAAGCCAACGAGUUAAUGCAAAACAUGAGCCAACCCACUAUCCCCGCUUGCUCCGAGGCCAGCCAGCACAUUCAUGGGAGUGAUUUUAACCCGCAGUGUCCCGGCAGGCCUGAGACUCCAGUUAGCUGCAGGUUCAGCACAAGAAAGCUGGGGCUGCUCAGAGCUGAAAGGCACCUUCUCACGGACCUCAUGAAAUGCCAAGCCGCCCUUGCCACCUCUGCACCCACAGCUUAUUGAAAUUCAUACAAAUGCAUCUUCUUCGGCCUUCUCGGGGCUGCUCCCGCUUUCUCUGGGCACUGCAGAAAUAAAUGAGGGCAAGGUCACAACGCAGAAUCCCUGCCAAGUUAAAUGCAUUGGAUGGCGCGACUGUCCAUCUGAAGUCAAUGGGCGAGAAUCUAAUUUCCAAACCCCUGAUCCAAAAUGAUGCAGCUCAGGAUCGAAUCCUUUUCUGGUGGUUGGCUGCCAACAUUUGUUCAGUUUCUGAAAAGUCUAUGUCCAAUUGGUUGUUUUAAAUCUCCCAGAGCUGGGAGGGUGGGGGUGGUUGGAGAGACCUGGGAACAGAAAACCACACAAAAUCCCAUUUCAAAGCUGCAAAUCAGAGCCAAUCGCCAUCAUGAUCUGCUUACCCAUGACAGUCUCAACUGCAGCGUUUUAGAGAGGAAAGGAAGCUUUCCCCACCCCUGAAGGUGAGUCCAACAAGCUGAGCAGGACUGGGCUGAGGGGCAUGUGUCAAGAGAGAAAGUGGUUGAGUUGAAACUCAAGGGGCCCAACGAAAGUAUUUGGAAAGCAGUGUCCCCUUUCACAAACCUGCCAGGGACUGGAGGGCCCUGUCUGUGAUGCCACCAGACCCCAGCUCAGUGCCCACCUCCCCAAGUCAGUCCAGAGCACCAUCACUCCAUUUGGGCAGGAAAAGAAUGAUUUUGUGAAAUCCCGGAGCCCCAUCUGUAUGAUGACACUCGUCCAGUGGGAGGAUGGCCUUUCCUGACAUAAAUGGGAUCACUCCAAAUCUAGAGAGUCUGUAUCCCCAGGGCUUCUCUGCUGAAGAACGUGCAAGGGGCUGAAAAGUGUCAAAGCUACCUCUUUGCCUUAAAGCUGCAAAAGAAGCAAACCCCAAGACAUCCUAGUUGAACUUGAACUUAAAUUCACCUAGUAGAAGGUGAAUUUCUAUUUUAGGUAGUCCUUGAGAAGUCACCAGAAAUCCAGAAAAGAAUUUGCUCUGAGAUGCCUCUUAAAAGAUUUCAUUCAAAGUGG
rnacentral:lncRNA from 1 species